CUACCAAAAGUUAUUUUGGGGGCAAGGUUUUUUUUAAUAACCUUUACCAUUUCGGGCUAUUUGGGAGAAUAAAGAAAAGACCACACUCCACAGUGGGCUAUACCACUCAGUAUAGUUCGCUACUAUUUUGUGGCCUACAGU
ensembl:snoRNA SNORA4 small nucleolar RNA SNORA4